AGGAUGAACGCUGGCGGCGUGCCUAAAACAUGCAAGUCAUACGGGCUACCUUCGGGUAGCCAGUGGCAAACGGGUGAGUAACACGUGGGAACGCGCCUUGGGGUGGGGAAUAACGCUGAGAAAUCAGUGCUAAUACCGCAUAUGGUCUAACGACUAAAGCAGCAAUGCGCCCCGAGAGCGGCCCGCGACCGAUUAGCUAGUUGGUGGGGUAAUGGCCUACCAAGGCGGUGAUCGGUAGCUGGUCUGAGAGGAUGGUCAGCCACACUGGGACUGCGAACGGCCCAGACUCCUACGGGAGGCAGCAGUUAGGAAUUUUCGGCAAUGGACGAAAGUCUGACCGAGCGACGCCGCGUGGAGGAUGACGCCUUUCGGGGUGUAAACUCCUUUUCUGCGGGAAGAUAAUGACGGUACCGCAGGAAUAAGCACCGGCUAACUACGUGCCAGCAGCCGC
rnacentral:rRNA from 1 species